AAAUUUUUCCUUUUUACUUAAUUAUAUUGUAGUAGAGGUAACAGAACUGCUUCUCUGUUACCCAAAUUGGCUGUAGAAAUUAUGUUCCUAUAACACUCAUUUAAAGUCAGUAUUUAUUUAUGUAUGUAAUACAAAAAGAUUGGUCUUAUGUGUUUGUCCUGUUACUUAGAGAAAAAAAAUACACUUCUUGUAAAAACAAUUUGUAAAAAACUGUAAAUGUAAAUAGAGUCUGAUUUCUUUUACUCACUAUUUUCAUGUUUAGAAUUUGUACAUACUGUUUAGGUAAUAAACUACCCUACAUCAAAAUCUUGCUACAUCAUCUCCUCCAUACAGAAUUGAUAGUUUUAAGUUGAAGAGAGUCAUCUAAGAAAAAUCAGUGUCACACCAAGUACCUUUGCUACAUCUAAAUUUCAUUGUAAAAAUGUCAUACCAUUUUAUCCUCUGUUUACUACAGCAUUUUGUUUUCUUUAGAAAGUAAUCAAAAUAAUCUGAAAAUAAAUUUAGAUACAAUUUGAGUUUUUUACAUUGAAAAGCAAUCCUUGAAGUAAAAAAUCAGACUCAAGAAUUUCCCAUACCUUUCUCUGUUUCAGUGGGAUAGUUGACAGUGAAGAUUUGUUCACCCUUUGUUAUGCUGACUUAAUUAAAAUGUUACUGGAUCUAUGUCAGUGGCCUGAUCUUACAAGUCAAGAUUUUCAUAAUUGAUAUGAUGGUGAAAUCUAUGUGUACACCAAAUUUUUAGUAUUUUCUAUUUUAAAGUGCAGUAUCCCGUGGUUUAAAUUCUAUAUUUUUAAUAACUAUAAAUAUCUGUCUUAGUACAAACAUUUAACUGUUUCAAAUUGUCAUAGAUGUGCUAUCAUUCUCACAUGCAAUAUCUUUAGUUUGGGGAUGCUCCUUUGGCUUACCUAAUAAACGUUUAGAUUUUGUUAACUUGAACAUAAACUCCAAAAUUUCCUGUUUUUUUCUUUCUCAUUAGAAUAACUGCUUAAAAUUUUGGGUUUGGUUUUCCUUUUACAUAAAUGGAUAAUAUUUAGAAAACCCCAUGUAGUUAAAUUUCUCUGCAGGUUGGACUAUUUAAACUAUAUUUGUUAUUAUGAUUUAGUAAACUCAGACAAGAAUAAUACAUCGCCAUGGAUAGCCUGGGCCUGCAGAGCAGAGGGGAACUGCAGAGAGCUAUGAAGAUGUUCCCAGUCUCCCCUCUGGAGGGCAG
rnacentral:lncRNA from 1 species